rnacentral:rRNA from 1 species
UACGUAGGGUGCAAGCGUUAAUCGGAAUUACUGGGCGUAAAGCGUGCGCAGGCGGUUUUGUAAGUCUGUCGUGAAAUCCCCGGGCUCAACCUGGGAAUGGCGAUGGAGACUGCAAGGCUAGAGUUUGGCAGAGGGGGGUAGAAUUCCACGUGUAGCAGUGAAAUGCGUAGAGAUGUGGAGGAAUACCGAUGGCGAAGGCAGCCCCCUGGGAUGACACUGACGCUCAUGCACGAAAGCGUGGGGAGCAAACAGG